GUUCUACUCCCUCCGUUCGACAAAAGAUGUCUCAAGUUUGUUAAAAUUUGGAUGUAUCUAGACAUGACUUAGUAUAUAGAUGCAUUCAAAUUUAGUCAAAGUUGAGACAUCUUUUGUUAGAUGGAGGGAGUAUAAA
rfam:Brachypodium distachyon strain Bd21 chromosome 5, whole genome shotgun sequence.